AGCUCCAGCAGCGUAUAUUUAUAUUGCUGCGUUUAAAAAGCUCGUAGUUGAAGCGUCAGACGCGGGAGGGCGGACGGCCGCACUGGUCGCUCUCGCCCGACCGUGCCAGGCGCAGAGGGCGCGCGUCGCUUGCACUUCACCGUGUGAGCGCGCCGCCGCUGCACGUUCACCUUGAAGAAAUUGAACCGCUUAGAGGGGGCGAGCAGCUUGCACAGCUCAGCAUGGUAUGAUGGAACAUGGGCUCGUACUCAUUUUGUUGGUUAGAGAGUCGGCGAGCCAAUGAUUAACAGGGACUGCCGGGGGCAUUCGUACUCGGACGGGAGAGGUGAAAUUCAAGGAUCGUCCGAAGACGCCCUACUGCGAAAGCAUUUGCCAAGAAUGUUUUCAUUAAUCAAGAACG
rnacentral:rRNA from 1 species